GAUCUGUAGUCUUGGACCUGCACUGGGUUGGUGGUACCCUAGAGCACACCAGACUUGCAGAGAAAGCAUACUCCAGAGGAAGCUGAGGCAUGCCUGCUCAAGGGCCAGCGGUUCCAUGUGCAAUUUUCCUCUGAUAGUUCCUGGGUACUGUUGCCACGGUGAUAAUGGCUGUGCCGUGUCAUUGUCGAUCCACCAACAGUCAGAGAAGCUUUGCAGUCAAGAUAUUGUUUGGCAGACGGAGUGGUUUCUGUUGGACACUAAGUACUGCUACAAAA
ensembl:scaRNA